rnacentral:rRNA from 1 species
AUACGUAGGUGACAAGCGUUAUCCGGAUUUACUGGGCGUAAAGGGCGUGUAGGCGGUCUUGCAAGUCAGAAGUGAAAUUCCUGAGCUCAACUCGGGCGCUGCUUCUGAAACUGCAGGACUUGAGUGCCGGAGGGGAUAGCGGAAUUCCUAGUGGAGCGGUAAAAUGCGCAGAUAUUAGGAAGAACACCGGUGGCGAAGGCGGCUAUCUGGACAGUAACUGACGCUGAGGCGCGAAAGCGUGGGGAGCAAACAGGAUUAGAUACCCUGGUAGUCCACGCUGUAAACGAUGAAUACUAGGUGUAGGGGGUAUCGACUCCCUCUGUGCCGCAGUUAACACAAUAAGUAUUCCGCCUGGGGAGUACGGCCGCAAGGUUGAAACUCAAAUGAAUUGACGGGG